CUGCCUGAGGUCAGAAGUUCAAGACCAGCCUGGCUAACAUGGAGAAGAGGAUGAAUCUUCUCACCGGUGGGAUCCUGACAUGCUAGGGCAGGUGGAGAGAAGAGUCACUCCCUACUGUGUAGUGGAGGCUUCCUGCCUGUCACAUUUUACUAACUCAAUUUCACAGUUAUUAAAAGUAAGGAAACAUGGUGAUAUGAAAAUAGAAAAUACAAACUUCGUUUUAAUUCUUUCACAGAAAGUUUAGCAAUUUGGUGAGUUGGGGUAACAUAGUUUCCAUCUACUGGCAUUUUAACAUGAAUUGACAUGGCUUAAAUUCAUCCUUUUUAAAGCCAGAUUUUUUUGGAGAUAGACUAUUUCCAACAUGUUCCUUCUGGGUGAUAAAAGAGGGCUAUUAGUUCAGUAUUUGUGACAAUAAAUAUGUAUAAAAUAACCUCACCUUUCCAGAAUAAUGUCAGGAAUAUGAGUCUAAUGCACAAAUGUAUAUCUCUAUGACAAGAUUGCAUGUGUCUUUUUAAAAAUACCUUCUCAAGAGUUUAUUUCAAUACCCCCAUUUCAAAUAAAUCUGCUUAGCAGGUUAUCCUUAACUCUCAGGACAAGGAAGUAAACAAGACUGUGAGUCUGUGAUGAUAGCAAAAGCAUCCAGGUAGGAUCAAGAUGAAGUGAGAAAAUAUUCCUCACCCCUCAGGUAGAACUCCAAAUAGAUAUUCAUGGUUCCUGUCCCCCUAGUGGAGGUCACUUGAAGGGCAAACAUUUUGGCAUCUCAUCUGCUUCAAGCUUGGACACAGGGGCACCAUCAGUGUCAUCUGUGUGUGGUUGGCCAUGUUGUGGGGCUGUCACUUCAGAUCUGGCAGUCAGGCAGAUAGUACCUGAGCCUUACACGAUGCCGGUACAGCCCAGUAUUCAGAAGCUAUAGUGUAGACCAUGCCCUUCUUAGGCCUAUACAAUUAUGUGCAAUAGAUGACUGGCUUUUCUGUUAGCCUCUUCAUUGAAAACUAAAGCAGCAUUACUCUACCAAACAGAGGGAAGCUAGAAAGAAACGAAACAGUUUGCCCAGCCCAGCUUCUGCCUUGACAUGGUAUCAUGUGAGUCUAGACACUUGCCUAGAUCUUUCCUGGGGGCCAAUGCUGCCGACACAUUAACUCAAUAGUUUGUCCUGGCCUGAGAGAUCAUGUAACUUGUAGAAAGUUUAGAAACAGAAAUUAGUGUCAUUGAUUUGACUUGGCUGUGACAACAAAGGAAGGAACUGGAGUGGGAGAACCCAAGGUCACCCUGGUUUUGGUAGAUGGUGCACACACUUCCACUAACUGUUCUGAGGCAAGGAUCCAAAUGCACUAUUGGGCCUGGCUAUGCUGUCUCUUCUGGGUUCUCCAAACAUGAGCCUCCAUGCCAUUUUUCAGUUGUAUUUUGCCACAUAUUAUCAGAGUCACUGGAUUUGUACAGAACAUUUGGAACCUAUACUGCCUUAAGGACAACCCUUUUAAAAAAGAGAAAACAAGGUCCUAAUUCAACUGUCUGGAACAUUUUGUGGUUACUUAUGUGGAAUACUGCAUCUUUUUCUAUCAACAGGAAGGUACGUGGACAUUAGAAGGUGCCUUUCAGCUGAAAGCAUAUAUGAGACAUAUGGAUCCUUUUAUAUACACCGUAUUUUUCAGCCACAUUUUCCCAAUUUGCCUCUCUGGGGCCAAGCUUGUGGGACUAGCAGAGUCAUGGUUGAAUUGAUGGCUGGUGACCUCUUCCAUCAGCCUUUCUUCUUCCUCCAGUCUUCCACCUCUCAGUAACAUCAGACUGGGAAGGUCUUCACAUAUCCAGAACCCCCAGUUUGGGGAGUCCACACAAGACCCAUCAAAGAUGAGUUGCAAGCAGGCCUGCCUUAGGAAACAGCAGCCUUAAUGCGUUUUCCAACAGAGAUAGUUCAUGUGCAGAGGCAAUAAACUGCUUUGUAAUUGA